GCCAAUGUAGCAUAGUGGUUUGAGUGUUGGACUACAGCUCUGGAGACCAGGGUUCAAAUUCCCACUCGGCCA